rnacentral:rRNA from 1 species
UACGAAGGGGGCUAGCGUUGCUCGGAAUCACUGGGCGUAAAGCGCACGUAGGCGGCUUUUUAAGUCAGGGGUGAAAUCCUGGAGCUCAACUCCAGAACUGCCUUUGAUACUGAGAGCUUGAGUCCGGGAGAGGUGAGUGGAACUGCGAGUGUAGAGGUGAAAUUCGUAGAUAUUCGCAAGAAAACCAGUGGCGAAGGCGGCUCACUGGCCCGGUACUGACGCUGAGGUGCGAAAGCGUGGGGAGCAAACA